rnacentral:rRNA from 1 species
AACGAACGCUGGCGACGCGCCUAAUACAUGCAAGUCGAGCGAGAAGACGUAGCAAUACGUUUGUAAAGCGGCGAACGGGUGAGGAAUACAUGGGUAACCUACCCUCGAGUGGGGAAUAACUAGCCGAAAGGUUAGCUAAUACCGCGUACGCUCCUUGGACUUCGGUUCAGGGAGGAAAGCGAUACCGUGGGUAUCGCGCUCUUGGAUGGGCUCAUGUCCUAUCAGCUUGUUGGUGAGGAACGGCUCACCAAGGCUUCGACGGGUAGCUGGUCUGAGAGGACGAUCAGCCACACUGGCACUGCGACACGGGCCAGACUCCUACGGGAGGCAGCAGUAAGGAAUAUUGCGCAAUGGGCGAAAGCCUGACGCAGCGACGCCGCGUGGGGGA